GGACCCGCACAAGCGGUGGAGCAUGUGGUUUAAUUCGAUGCAACGCGAAAAAACCUUACCUACUCUUGACAUACUUGGGAGCUCUUGUAAUGAGAGUGUGCCUUUUGGAACCAAGAUACAGGUGCUGCAUGGCUGUCGUCAGCUCGUGUCGUGAGAUGUUCCGUUAAGUCGGAUAACGAGCGCAACCCUUACCCUUAUUUGCCAGCGAUUCGGUCGGGAACUAUAAGGGGACUGCCGGUGAUAAACCGGAGGAAGGUGAGGACGACGUCAAGUCAUCAUGGCCCUUACGAGUAGGGCUACACACGUGCUACAAUGGGGAAUACAGACGGACGCUAAGCCGCGAGGUG
rnacentral:rRNA from 1 species